rnacentral:rRNA from 1 species
GACGAACGCUGGCGGCGUGCUUAACACAUGCAAGUCGAACGAAGAGCGAUGGAAGCUUGCUUCUAUCAAUCUUAGUGGUGAACGGGUGAGUAACGCGUAAUCAACCUGCCCUUCAGAGGGGGACAACAGUUGGAAACGACUGCUAAUACCGCAUACGAUCUAAUCUCGGCAUCGAGGAUAGAUGAAAGGUGGCCUCUACAUGUAAGCUAUCACUGAAGGAGGGGAUUGCGUCUGAUUAGCUAGUUGGAGGGGUAACGGCCCACCAAGGCGAUGAUCAGUAGCCGGUCUGAGAGGAUGAACGGCCACAUUGGGACUGAGACACGGCCCAGACUCCUACGGGAGGCAGCAGUGGGGAAUCUUCCGCAAUGGACGAAAGUCUGACGGAGCAACGCCGCGUGAGUGAUGACGGCCUUCGGGUUGUAAAGCUCUGUUAAUCGGGACGAAAGGCCUUCUUGCGAAUAGUGAGAAGGAUUGACGGUACCGGAAUAGAAAGCCACGGCUAACUACGUG